rnacentral:rRNA from 1 species
GAUAAACGCUGGCGGCGUGCAUGAGACAUGCAAGUCGAACGAAGGAUCGGGCUUGCUCGAUCCUUAGUGGCGGACGGCUGAGUAACGCGUAGGUGACCUACCCCGAAGUGGGGAAUAACUGCCCGAAAGGGUGGCUAAUACCGCAUGUGGUCGCACGUUCAUUCGUGCGAGUAAAGCCGCAAGGCGCUUCGGGAGGGGCCUGCGUCCGAUUAGCUCGUUGGUGGGGUAAUGGCUUACCAAGGCGACGAUCGGUAGGUGGUCUGAGAGGACGAUCACCCAGACUGGGACUGAGACACGGCCCAGACUCCUACGGGAGGCAGCAGUCGGGAAUUUUGCUCAAUGGGGGAAACCCUGAAGCAGCAACGCCGCGUGAGGGAUGAAGGCCUUCGGGCUGUAAACCUCUUUUGUCAGGGACGAUGAUGACGGUACCUGGCGAAUAAGCCACGGCUAACUACGUG